AUCCUCUCAGGCCUUUUGGCUAAGAUCAAGUGUAGUAUCUGUUCUAUUCAGUCUGAUAACUGAAUCUGUUCACAUUGUGGACAAUUGUUAUCAAACUUAUUUUUGAAACUCGCUGGCUGUUGAUGGGCUUGCCCUAGACGCUGGCACCGGUGUCCCCAGUAUUGCACUAUCUCUGGGUGACGCCAAGCUUAU
rnacentral:snRNA from 1 species